rnacentral:rRNA from 1 species
UACAGAGGGUGCAAGCGUUAAUCGGAAUUACUGGGCGUAAAGCGCACGUAGGUGGCUUGAUAAGUUGGGUGUGAAAUCCCCGGGCUUAACCUGGGAAUUGCAUUCAAGACUGUCUUGCUAGAGUGUGGAAGAGGGAAGCGGAAUUCCAGGUGUAGCGGUGAAAUGCGUAGAUAUGCGGAGGAACACCGAUGGCGAAGGCAAUCCCCCUGGACCUGUACUGACGCUCAUGCACGAAAGCGUGGGGAGC